GCUACAUGUCCCCCCACCGCUGGCAUCCCCCACAACCACAGGUCCUUCUGGUCACUGCACACAGCCCCCCCCCAGCGCCCCCCAGGAAGGCUCAGCACUGCAGGGUGGCUAGCGUGACAUUUCACUGGUUAUCCUGGUCGGGUAACCAUGUGUGCAGGGUAACGACAGCCGGUGUCCAGGAGCCCCCUGGUGAUGGCCCAGCCCCUCGGCCUCCAAACCCCUCCUGUGCUCCCUCAUUUCUUCCCACUUGGCCCUUGGCGAGGGUCCUGCAGAAGCCAGAUGGGGGUACCAGAGAACAGCCCCCCGGCCCUGCACACCACCAGGAGCUGGUCCUGCUGGGGCCAAGCAGGGGACGGAGUUUCAGGAGGAUGAGUGCCAAGCAGCCCAGCUGGUCCCCAUCCCAGCAAAGCCUGCCUCUCCCAGCUGUGCUCCGGUUUGACCUGCCUCAUCCAGCUUCCAAGGGAAACAACCUUCCCCAGAUCAACAAAAGGGCUCUCUCCCUCGGGUGCUGUUUUGAAAGCUGCCGUUCCUGCCCGCAGCCCUGUUUGGCAGCCCCAACCCAUAGCCCCGAGGGUGGCCUGGAGGUUUAUGGGGGUAAGGAGGCCUGGUCUGUGGACAGGCAGGCAUCCAGCCUGAGCAGAAGGGCCUGGGGCUCCCCAGGUUCUGAGCUGCUGCCUCCCCAGAGUGUGACUGCGACUGCUCCUUGCCAGGAGGCCCCUGGGCUCAGGGGUGGGGAGGGGUUGACAACAACGCUGUCGCACCGCCACGUGGACCCUCCCUGGGGAGGCCCCAGGGCCCACGGCCAGCUCCCACCACCCCUGGUGGCCCCUCCUGGAGCCCUGGCCCCUGGCUUGGAGCGGCCACCGCCUGGGCCCCAGGGACCUGCCCUCGUGAGCCAACACUGUGAUACUCUUGUGUCCACGCUAGUCAUGUCUGAACAGUCAGGGUCCCCUCUGGUCAGUGGGGCUGUGGAGAUGGCAGAGGGAGGGGCAGCAUCAGGUCUGACCGAGGCUCCCGCUGGGGUGGCCAGAAGGGCCCUACAGCUGAGGCCUGGGGAGGGGCCGUCCAAGCAGAGGCACCAGUGCAAACAUGCAAAGGAUGACAGGGGCCAGGCGGUGGGGGAGGGUGGUCCAGCGGCCCACACCUGCGCUUUGAAAGUCCAGCCCCCUCUGGGAAAGGGCCAGGAGCCCCGAGAUCUCAGGAGAGGGGAAACGGAAGUCAAAGGGAGACAGAGGCCACGUCUCGGAGUACCACCUGGGGGAGGGGACGUGCGGACGCAGGGUCCCAGGAAGGGGCUCUGCCCGCCAAGCAGCAUCUCCCUGGAGUGGACGGAAGGGCCCUGAGCCCUCCCCCGCGGAGAAGCUGGAUGAAACCCAAGUUCAGGUUCUAAUGAAUAAUCAAUCGGUGUUGCCAGCCCCACCCACCGCUUGCAUCCCAGUGAGAUGAUUUCCGUUACUGGGCCUGCGAUUAAAGGCGGUGAUUAAAAGCUGCCUGCUGCACAUGUUAAUUUGCUUAAGAUUCUGAUCUCCUAAAUCUCCUUUCUGGGCAUUUAAGCAAAAUUCUGCCUUUGAGAGCAUUUGGCCUGGCUACCAGUGGGUGGGACCUCGCACGUGGAAGAAGGGCCUGCUGGCCCCCAGGAGUUUCACUUCCUUCUUGUUUGGAGAAGGGUCUGGAAUCAACAGUCAGGUGAUGGGGAGUGGCCUGGGGCCCUGCGUGAGCCCCACCCCCGGGUGGGCUCCCUGGGCCCUUGACCCUCACUGCCGUCCCUCCCCCCAGCCCCCUC
rnacentral:lncRNA from 1 species